GAUGAACGCUAGCGGCAGGCCUAAUACAUGCAAGUCGAACGGUGUCUUCGGACAUAGUGGCGCACGGGUGCGUAACACGUAUGCGACCUACCUUACAUUGGGGGAUAGCCUUUCGAAAGGGAGAUUAAUACCGCAUAAGACAGUAACUAGGCAUCUAGUAGCUGUUAAAGAUUUAUCGAUGUAAGCUGGGCAUGCGUCCAAUUAGCUAGUUGGUGAGGUAACGGCUCACCAAGGCAAUGAUUGGUAGGGGAACUGAGAGGUCAAUCCCCCACACUGGCACUGAGAUACGGGCCAGACUCCUACGGGAGGCAGCAGUAGGGAAUAUUGGGCAAUGGACGCAAGUCUGACCCAGCCAUGCCGCGUGCAGGAUGAAGGCGUUAUGCGUUGUAAACUGCUUUUAUACAGGAAGAAACGACUCUUGCGAGAGGCAUUGACGGUACUGUAUGAAUAAGCACCGGCUAACUCCGUGCCAGCCGCCGCUGUAACAC
rnacentral:rRNA from 1 species